rnacentral:rRNA from 1 species
CCAAUAGCGUAUAUUAAAGUUGUUGCAGUUAAAAAGCUCGUAGUUGAAUUUCGGGGUCAGUAGAUUGGUCGUGCCACUGGUAUGUACUGGUCUUACUGGCUCCUCCUUCCUGAUGAACCGUAAUGCCAUUAAUUUGGUGUUGCGGGGAGACUGGACUGUUACUUUGAAAAAAUUAGAGUGUUUAAAGCAGGCUAACGCUUGAAUACAUUAGCAUGGAAUAAUGAAAUAGGACGUUCGAUCUUAUUUUGUUGGUUUCUAGGAUUGACGUAAUGAUUAAUAGGGAUAGUUGGGGGCAUUAGUAUUCAAUUGUCAGAGGUGAAAUUCUUGGAUUUAUUGAAGACUAACUACUGCGAAAGCAUUUGCCAAGGAUGUUUUCAUUAAUCAAGAACGAAAGUUAGGGGAUCGAAGACGAUCAGAUACCGUCGUAGUCUUAACCAUAAACUAUGCCGACUAGGGAUCGGAUGAUGUUAAUUUUUUAAUGACUCAUUCGGCACCUUACG